rnacentral:pre_miRNA from 1 species
UAUUGCCACAUCCAUAAAAAGCACUCCAAAAAUCGAGCUGAGUUCAAAAAUUUAUAAUUAGUAUUUUUAUCGUUAUUAGAUGAUAAAAUAUAAAUAAUACUUUAUGCGUGACUUGUGUUUUUAAUUUUUUCUAAAAAAACUUUUUAAAUAAGACGUACGAUCAAAGUUUGGCAUGAAAAAUUAUAGCAGCACUUAAA